rnacentral:rRNA from 1 species
GACGUAGGGCGCGAGCGUUGUCCGGAUUUAUUGGGCGUAAAGAGCUCGUAGGCGGCUCGUUGCGUCGGCUGUGAAAACCCGCAGCUCAACUGUGGGCUUGCAGUUGAUACGGGCGGGCUGGGAUUCGGUAGGGGAGACUGGAAUUCCUGGUGUAGCGGUGAAAUGCGCAGAUAUCAGGAGGAACACCGGUGGCGAAGGCGGGUCUCUGGGCCGAUACUGACGCUGAGGAGCGAAAGCGUGGGGAGCGAACAGG